AGACUAACAAAUGGAUCUAAAAGGCUUCGGAGACGAACAGGCGGUUAGACGUCAAGCACGUAGUUUGCCCCUUGAUGCGUCCGUCAAGCAGCUUGAGCCAGCAAACGGCACUUUUCUCAUAUCUCGAACACUGUCCGAACGACGCGUCAAGAAAAAAUAUAAAA